rnacentral:lncRNA from 1 species
UCAUAAAUCAAAUUCAUAUAGAUUAUUAGAAGAUAAUUAAGUUAGAAUUAUCUUAUCAAAUAAGUAAUCCCAUCAGAAAGAGAAAUUAGAUCCAACCAUGUGCUAGCAAGGUUAUCAUGAACUCAAUGAAUUUUUUUAAACCCAAUUGAUAUUUCAUAAGCUCAAUUACUUACUCCAGACCUAAUCCUUUUGUUGUGUGACCCCAU